rnacentral:rRNA from 1 species
CGCUGGCGGCGUAGCCUAACACGAUGCAAGUCGAGCGAGGAGAGUCCUUCGGGAUGAUCCUAGCGGCGGACGGGUGAGUAACACGUGGGCAACCUGCCUCAUAGAGAGGAAUAGCCUUCCGAAGGGAGAUUAAUACCUCAUAACAUUGCAGUUUCGCAUGGAACAGCAAUUAAAGGAGUAAUCCGCUAUGAGAUGGGCCCGCGGCGCAUUAGCUAGUUGGUGAGGUAACGGCUCACCAAGGCGACGAUGCGUAGCCGACCUGAGAGGGUGAUCGGCCACAUUGGGACUGAGACACGGCCCAGACUCCUACGGGAGGCAGCAGUGGGGAAUAUUGCACAAUGGGGGAAACCCUGAUGCCAGCAACGCCGCGUGAGUGAUGACGGCCUUCGGGUUGUAAAGCUCUGUCUUCAGGGACGAUAAUGACGGUACCUGAGGAGGAAGCCACGGCUAACUACGUGCCAGCCGCCGC